GGGAAGGUGGUUCAGUGGUAGAGUGCUUGCCUUGCAUGCAUGAGGUGCUGGGUUCGAUUCCUCAGCCCCA
rnacentral:tRNA from 1 species